UACGUAGGGGGCUAGCGUUGUCCGGAAUCAUUGGGCGUAAAGAGCGUGUAGGCGGCCCGGUAAGUCCGCUGUAAAAGUCAAAGGCUCAACCUUUGAAUGUCAGUGGAUACUGCCGGGCUAGAGUCCGGAAGAGGCGAGUGGAACUCCUGGUGUAGCGGUGGAAUGCGCAGAUAUCAGGAAGAACACCAACGGCGAAGGCAGCUCGCUAGGACGGUACUGACGCUGAGGAGCGAAAGCGUGGGGAGCGAACAGG
rnacentral:rRNA from 1 species